rnacentral:rRNA from 1 species
AGCAGCCGCGGUAAUUCCAGCUCCAAUAGCGUAUAUUAAAGUUGUUGCAGUUAAAAAGCUCGUAGUUGAAUUUCGGGAUUGGCGCAUCGGUCGUGCCUCACGGGGUAUGAACUGGUGCAGUCAAUUUCUCACCUUCUGGAGAACCGCGAUGUCCUUAAUUGGAUGCCGCGGGGAACCAGGACCUUUACUUUGAAAAAAUUAGAGUGUUUAAAGCAGGCAUUUUUGCUUGAAUACAUUAGCAUGGAAUAAUAAAAUAGGACGGCAUGGUUCUAUUUUGUUGGUUUCUAGGACCACCGUAAUGAUUAAUAGGGAUAGUUGGGGGCAUUAGUAUUCAAUUGUCAGAGGUGAAAUUCUUGGAUUUAUUGAAGACUAACUACUGCGAAAGCAUUUGCCAAGGAUGUUUUCAUUAAUCAAGAACGAAAGUUAGGGGAUCGAAGACGAUCAGAUACCGUCGUAGUCUUAACCAUAAACUAUGCCGACUAGGAAUCAGACGAUGUUAAUUUUUAAUGACUCGUUUUGG